rnacentral:rRNA from 1 species
UACAGAGGGUGCGAGCGUUAAUCGGAAUUACUGGGCGUAAAGCGUGCGUAGACGGUUACGUAAGUCGGAUGUGAAAUCCCCGGGCUCAACCUGGGAAUUGCAUUCGAGACUGCGCAGCUGGGGUGCGGAAGAGGGAAGCGGAAUUUCCGGUGUAGCGGUGAAAUGCGUAGAUAUCGGAAGGAACACCAGUGGCGAAGGCGGCUCACUGGCCCGGUACUGACGCUGAGGCGCGAAAGCGUGGGGAGCAAACAGG